rnacentral:lncRNA from 1 species
UGCCCGGCUUGACCAACGAGUUUCACACAGUGUUCUCAACUUUGUUCGACGUUCUAGUUGUUCUUGAACGUUUUAAUUUUCUGACAGUUCUUCACUGAAAGCAGUCAAGCUUUUAGCCGAAUUAUCAAAUUUGAAUGCAAUUUCCUGUACAGUCUACAUCAUGUUUCUAACACAAAGUUCCUUACUACUAUGAACGAGUGCAAAAUUUAGUUGGUGUGCCUUGCAGUGGAUGUAGGAAGCUUCUGAUGAUUGCUCUAGUAUUUUUGCCUGCACACCAUUAUACUUGCCGGACAUUUUCGCGGCGCCUUCAUAACACUGGGCACGGAGAUUCCUUAUAUCAAGGUUUACAUGUUCAAGAAACUCAACGAUCGUAUAAGAAAUGGCAACAUCUUUUACACUUUUGGCAUAUUUAAAACCGAUAAAUUCUUCUCGUAUACUGAUGAUAUCGUUUUUCUUAUCUAAGAACCUAACACACAA